UGGAAAUAAAAGGUUAUGACCUCUGACGGCUCUAAUGUUCUCCCUCUUCGUGGGACCCGCUACACAAUCCUUUCAUCUUGACUUCUAUGAGAUGUCAUCAGAGAAUCCUGGAAGCAAGCAGGUCUGGAAAGCACCUGAGGCAGUGUGUCCACCUCCCUUAAUUCAGACUCGGAGGGAUAAGCGGUGGCACAGAAUCCUCUCUCCAGAAUCAUCUCCAUCACAUCCCAGGCAAUGAGGGUGAAACAGACCCUGCCUCCCGUUCCCACACAUUCCCACGAUAACUCAGUCUGCAACCAGGCUCAGUAGCAAGUUCCAGAAAAGAGAACCUGCCUGGGACAAGAACUUCAUGGCCUAAGCCACCAAACCAUACACAAUAGUCAGAUGCUCUGUUUCCUCCAAUUUUGUCCAAAGAAUCCCUUACUCUUGGAAACUUUCCUGGGGUGCUAAAGAAGAGAUAGAUUUCCAGGCUAUGAGAAAAAAGGGUAACUCCCCAUGUAGGGGAUAGAGUAGGGUAUUUUGAGGAUCUAAAAGGAACCUACCCCCUGAAUCUUCCCUGCCAAAGGCGCCUAUUAAAUCUAGCGUGAU